GAUGAACGCUGGCGGCGUGCCUAAUACAUGCAAGUCGAGCGAACAGACGAGGAGCUUGCUCCUCUGACGUUAGCGGCGGACGGGUGAGUAACACGUGGAUAACCUACCUAUAAGACUGGGAUAACUUCGGGAAACCGGAGCUAAUACCGGAUAAUAUAUUGAACCGCAUGGUUCAAUAGUGAAAGACGGUUUUGCUGUCACUUAUAGAUGGAUCCGCGCCGCAUUAGCUAGUUGGUAAGGUAACGGCUUACCAAGGCAACGAUGCGUAGCCGACCUGAGAGGGUGAUCGGCCACACUGGAACUGAGACACGGUCCAGACUCCUACGGGAGGCAGCAGUAGGGAAUCUUCCGCAAUGGGCGAAAGCUUGACGGAGCAACGCCGCGUGAGUGAUGAAGGUCUUCGGAUCGUAAAACCCUGCUAUUAGGGAAGAACAAAUGUGUAAGUAACUAUGCACGUCUUGACGGUACCUAAGCAGAAAGCCACGGCUAACUACGU
rnacentral:rRNA from 1 species